GAUGAACGCUGGCGGCGUGCCUAAUACAUGCAAGUCGAGCGAACGGACGAGAAGCUUGCUUCUCUGAUGUUAUCGGCGGACGGGUGAGUAACACGUGGAUAACCUACCUAUAAGACUGGGAUAACUUCGGGAAACCGGAGCUAAUACCGGAUGAUAUUUUGAACCGCAUUGUUCAAAAGUGAAAGACGGUCUUGCUGUCACUUAUAGAUUGAUCCGCGCUGCAUUCGCUAGUUGGUAAGGUAACGGCUUACCAAGGCAACGAUGCAUAGCCGACCUGAGAGGGAGAUUGGCCACACGGGCACUGAGAAACGGUCCAGACUCCGAGGGGAGGCAGCAGUAGGGAAUCUUCCGCAAUGGGCGAAAGCCGGACGGAGCAACGCCGCGUGAGUGAUGAAGGUCUUCGGAUCGUAAAACUCUGUUAUUAGGGAAGAACAUAUGUGUAAGUAACUGUGCACAUCUUGACGGUACCUAAUCAGAAAGCCACGGCUAACUACGUG
rnacentral:rRNA from 1 species